rnacentral:sRNA from 1 species
UGGGGAGGUAAGGCCAGGCCAGGUGGGUAGGGCUAGGGCAAGGCCACCCUCCAUCCACCUGGGGCUGACUUGGGCCUUCCUCCUGCCGGCACAGGAAUCGUACAAGUACUUCCCUUCCUCGGUGAGUCCAGCCCCCCAGGGUGGGGCGGGGCAUUCGGGCAGGGCGGUCAGGGCCAGUCCUGAGAUUCUGCCCCGCAGCUCUCGCCAGUGACGCCCUCAGAGUCCCUGCCAAGGCCCCGCCGGCCACUGCCCACCCAACAGCAGCCACAGCCAUCACAGAAGUUAGGGCGCAUCCGUGAAGAUGAGGGGGCAGUGGCGUCAUCAGCAGUCAAGGAGCCUCCUGAGGCUACAGCCACACCUGAGCCACUCUCAGAUGAGGACCUACCUCUGGAUCCUGACCUGUAUCAGGACUUCUGUGCAGGGGCCUUUGAUGACCACGGCCUGCCCUGGAUGAGCGACACAGAAGAGUCCCCAUUCCUGGACCCCGCGCUGCGGAAGAGGGCAGUGAAAGUGAAGCAUGUGAAGCGUCGGGAGAAGAAGUCUGAGAAGAAGAAGGAGGAGCGAUACAAGCGGCAUCGGCAGAAGCAGAAGCACAAGGAUAAAUGGAAACACCCAGAGAGGGCUGAUGCCAAGGACCCUGCGUCGCUGCCCCAGUGCCUGGGGCCCGGCUGUGUGCGCCCCGCCCA